GACAGAGGGUGCAAACGUUGCUCGGAAUUACUGGGCGUAAAGCGCGUGUAGGCGGACUGGUGUGUCGGAUGUGAAAUCCCCAGGCUCAACCUGGGAACUGCAUUCGAAACUGCCAGCCUUGAGUGGUGGAGAGGGAAGUGGAAUUCCUGGUGUAGAGGUGAAAUUCGUAGAUAUCAGGAGGAACGCCAGUGGCGAAGGCGGCUUCCCGGACACCAACUGACGCUGAGACGCGAAAGCGUGGGGAGCAAACAGG
rnacentral:rRNA from 1 species